rnacentral:rRNA from 1 species
GUGCCAGCCGCCGCGGUAAUACGUAGGUUCCGAGCGUUGUCCGGAUUUAUUGGGCGUAAAGCGAGCGCAGGCGGUUAGAUAAGUCUGAAGUUAAAGGCUGUGGCUUAACCAUAGUACGCUUUGGAAACUGUUUAACUUGAGUGCAAGAGGGGAGAGUGGAAUUCCAUGUGUAGCGGUGAAAUGCGUAGAUAUAUGGAGGAACACCGGUGGCGAAAGCGGCUCUCUGGCUUGUAACUGACGCUGAGGCUCGAAAGCGUGGGGAGCAAACAGGAUUAGAUACCCUGGUAGUCAAGGGCGAAUUCGC